rnacentral:lncRNA from 1 species
AAAGGGUCACAUGCAAGCAAGGACAAAAACAACCUAACCAAUUCCAAAUUUGACUCAAAGAGAAGAGCAAAAAUGAACUUACUCUAUCAGAUAUUCUGAUCGGGCAAUCUUGUAGUACUCACUGCCAGGAGUCUGAUGGUGGACUCUGAUCGUCGAACUGAUGAACGAGGAAGUCAGAAUUGUAGAGAGAAGGGAGAGGAAAGGAAAAGAACUUUC